rnacentral:tRNA from 2 species
GAUUCCGUAGCUCAGUUGGUAGAGCAGGCGACUUUUAAUCGCUUUGUCCUGGGUUCGAGUCCCAGCGGAAUCA